rnacentral:rRNA from 1 species
GACAGAGGUGCCGAGCGUUAGGCGGAAUCACUGGGCUUAAAGCGUGUGUAGGCGGGCGGGCAAGUACCUUGUGAAAUCCCACGGCUCAACCGUGGAACGGCUGGGUAUACUGCCUGUCUUGAGCCAACUAGGGGCGAGCGGAACAGACGGUGGAGCGGUGAAAUGCGUAGAUAUCGUCUGGAACGCCAAAGGUGAAAACAGCUCGCUGGGGUUGUGCUGACGCUGAGACACGAAAGCCAGGGGAGCGAACGGGG